AAGUCGUAACAAGGUUUCCGUAGGUGAACCUGCGGAAGGAUCAUUAUAGUAGAGAUUUAUCUCUAUUAAGAUAGCACCCUUUGUUUACAAGAACUCCUGUUUCCUCAGUACACUUGUGUACUAGUAGGACAUUGAAACUCCCUGUAGUAGCAGUAUUUUUGGCUUAAUAUAAAUGUUAAAACUUUCAACAACGGAUCUCUUGGUUCUGGCAUCGAUGAAGAACGCAGCAAAAUGCGAUAAGUAGUGUGAAUUGCAGAAUUCCGUGAAUCAUCAAAUCUUUGAACGCACAUUGCGCCCUCCGGUAUUCCGUUGGGCAUGCCUGUUCGAGCGUCAUUUAAAUCUUCAAGCUUUGCUUGGUGUUAGGUGUUUGUUCUAUCUUUGUGUAAGAACUCGCUUUAAAUUUAUUGGCAGCUGAAUUACUAGUUUUGUAUGCAGUACAUUGCAAGCUACUUUAGUAAACCUCCUUCCACAAGCUCUUAUUUUACUUUGACCUCGGAUCAGGUAGGGAUACCCGCUGAACUUAAGCAUAUCAAUAAGCGGAGGAAAAGAAACCAACAGGGAUUGCCUUAGUAACGGCGAGUGAAGUGGCAAUAGCUCAAAUUUAAAAUCUGGCCCGUUUUGAGCCCGAGUUGUAAUUUGCAGAGGGUGCUUUAGAGUUGUAGCAGCCUAAGUUCCUUGGAACAGGGCAUCAUAGAGGGUGAGAAUCCCGUAUGUGGCUGCCUAUCUUCUCUAUGUAAAGCCCCUUCAAUGAGUCGAGUUGUUUGGGAAUGCAGCUCUAAAUGGGAGGUAAAUUUCUUCUAAAGCUAAAUAUUGGCCAGAGACCGAUAGCGCACAAGUAGAGUGAUCGAAAGAUGAAAAGCACUUUGGAAAGAGAGUUAAAAAGCACGUGAAAUUGUUGAAAGGGAAGCGCUUGCAGCUAGACAUGCUUGUAGUAGCUCUGCUAGGGGUCUCCCUAGCCUACUCUUCUAUAGGCAGGCCAGCAUCAGUUUAGGUGGUUGGAAAAAGACUUGUGUCAUGUAGCUCUUCUUGGAGAGUGUUAUAGGGCAAGUGGAAUGCAACCAGCCUAGAUUGAGGUCCGCGCAUCUGCUAGGAUGCUGGCAUAAUAGCUGUAAGCGGCC
rnacentral:rRNA from 1 species